rnacentral:tRNA from 1 species
GGUCUAUUAGUCUAGUUGGUUAGGACGUCGGAUUCUGACUCUUCCAAGGUUGGAAUUUUCCGUAAGCCCAGGUUCGAAUCCUGGAUGGACCU